rnacentral:lncRNA from 1 species
GGAAGUUUGUUUUAAUAUACAGAAUGAAAAAAGACUGGGAGGAUGCUAUUCCAGCCACGCUCUACCCUCUAAAUUACUUCCGGAUAACCUCCUGGAAAGUGCCAGGAGCCUCUGUUGAACAUUCGGUGCCCUCAGAAUCCUGUUGGUAUGGAUGGGAACUGAAAACUUUUGAUACUGGAGAGGAGAGAUUUAACUCUGAGGGGCUGCAGAAAAGAAAAUGUGUUCCUGUUCCAGAACCUCCAGGUGCUGGUUUGCAAGUGAUGCUUUUGAGAGGAUCUGCGGAUGGCUGCCAUUUAUCGAGACAGAUGAACUCAUUUGCAGGAAAAGGAAAGGCAGAGAUACAAAGAUUGACAUUUCUACUGUGUGGUUUGAAGCUAUA